rnacentral:rRNA from 1 species
CCUACGGGGGGCAGCAGUGAGGAAUAUUGGUCAAUGGGCGCGAGCCUGAACCAGCCAAGUCGCGUGAGGGAAGACGGUCCUAUGGAUUGUAAACCUCUUUUGUAGGGGAGCAAAAGACGCCACGCGUGGCGUUCCGAGAGUACCCGAAGAAAAAGCAUCGGCUAACUCCGUGCCAGCAGCCGCGGUAAUACUGAGGAUGCGAGCGUUAUCCGGAUUUCUUGGGUUUAAAGGGUGCGCGGGCGGGAGAGCAAGUCAGCGGUAAAAUUGAGAGGCUCAACCUCUUCGAGCCGUUGAAACUGGUUUUCUAGAGUGAGAGAGAAGUAUGCGGAAUGCGUGGUGUAGCGGUGAAAUGCAUAGAUAUCACGCAGAACUCCGAUUGCGAAGGCAGCAUACCGGCGCUCAACUGACGCUCAUGCACGAAAGUGUGGGUAUCGAACAGGAUUAGAUACCCGAGUAGUC